rnacentral:rRNA from 1 species
UACGUAGGGGGCUAGCGUUUGUCCGGAAUCAUUGGGCGUAAAGCGCGCGUAGGCGGCCCGGUAAGUCCGUUGUGAAAGUCAAAGGCUCAACCUUUUGAACGCCGAUGGAUACUGCCGGGCUAGAGUCCGGAAGAGGCGAGUGGAAUUCCUGGUGUAGUGGUGGAAUGCGCAGAUAUCAGGAGGAACACCAAUAGCGAAGGCAGCUCGCUGGGACGUUACUGACGCUGAGGCGCGAAAAGCGUGGGGGAGCGAACAGG